AUUGAACGCUGGCGGCAUGCUUUACACAUGCAAGUCGAACGGCAGCGCGGGCUUCUGCCUGGCGGCGAGUGGCGAACGGGUGAGUAAUGCAUCGGAACGUGCCCAGUAGUGGGGGCUAGCCCGGCGAAAGCCGGAUUAAUACAGCAUACGACCUGAGGGUGAAAGCGGGGGUCCGAUAGGGCUCGCGCUAUUUGAGCGGACGAAGUCGGGGUUGCUCGCUGGUGGGGUAAAGGCUUACCAAAGCGACGUUCCGUAGCUGGUCUGAGAGGCCGACCAGCCACACUGGGACUGAGACACGGCCCAGACUCCUACGGGAGGCAGCAGUGGGGAAUUUUGGACAAUGGGGGCAACCCUGAUCCAGCCAUGCCGCGGGCGGGAAGAAGGCCUUCGGGUUGUAAACCGCUUUUGUUCGGGAAGAAAUCCUCUGGGCUAAUACCCCGGGGGGAUGACGGUACCGUAAGAAUAAGCACCGGCUAACUACGUG
rnacentral:rRNA from 1 species